rnacentral:rRNA from 1 species
UCAAUAAGCGGAGGAAAAGAAACUAACAAGGAUUCCCUUAGUAACUGCGAGUGAAGAGGGAAAAGCUCAAAUUUAAAAUCUGGCAGUGUUUCACUGUCCGAGUUGUAACCUAGAGAAGUGUAACCUGCGCUGGACCGUGUAUAAGUCUCCUGGAAUGGAGCAUCACUGAGGGUGAGAAUCCCGUCUUUGACACGGACCACCAGUGCAUUGUGGUUGUGCUCUCAACGAGUCGAGUUGUUUGGGAAUGCAGCUCUAAAUGGGUGGUAAAUUCCAUCUAAAGCUAAAUAUUGGCGAGAGACCGAUAGCGAACAAGUACCGUGAGGGAAAGAUGAAAAGAACUUUGGAAAGAGAGUUAAACAGUAUGUGAAAUUGUUGAAAGGGAAACGUUUGAAGUCAGUCGCGUCGGUUGGGGAUCAGCCUGACAUUGUUGGGUGUACUUCCUGGUUGACGGGCCAACAUCAGUUUUGAUUGCCAGAAAAAGGCCAAAGGAAUGUGGCACNUUUGGGUGUGUUAUAGCCCUUGGUCGUAUAUGGUGGUUGGGACUGAGGAAAGCAGCGUGCCGAAAGGCCGGGUUUCGACCACGUUCACGCUGAGGAUGUUGGCAUAAUGGCUUUAAGCGACCCGUCUUGAAACACGGACCAAGGAGUCUAACAUGCAUGCGAGUGUUUGGGUGGAAAACCCUUACGCGUAAUGAAAGUGAAAGUUGAGAUCCCUGUCGUGGGGAGCAUCGACGCCCGGACCAGAACUUUUGGGACGGAUCUGCGGUAGAGCACGUAUGUUGGGACCCGAAAGAUGGUGAACUAUGCCUGAAUAGGGUGAAGCCAGAGGAAACUCUGGUGGAGGCUCGUAGCGAUUCUGACGUGCAAAUCGAUCGUCAAAUUUGGGUAUAGGGGCGAAAGACUAAUCGAACCAUCUAGUAGCUGGUUCCUGCCGAANUUUCCCUCAGGAUAUCAGAAGCUC